rnacentral:snoRNA from 2 species
AUGGAAGUGAGGAUCCUUUCCCCAGCUGAUCGACUAUGAUUAUACUGUGCGCAAAUGAAAUUCUUUAUCAGAGGAUUCCAAGCCAGAAAUCUGAUCCAU